AAGGGACAUAACUCGUAAUAGCCACUGGUGGCGCAACGAUAGAGCCCAGUAAUUCCAGUCUAGUUCGGCAAGGGUGGAAACUGGACUUUUAAAGUCAGUUAACUCUCUUGCCUCGGGAAGAUGGUUGUUUAAUGAAAAAGGUGCAAUUCUUUGAAAAAUGUGAAAACGGAAAUCUGUUAUUCUGUUUUGUGCUUGCGUCUAUGGCAGUAGUGAGAGUGACAUUGCCUCUAUUGCUGGUAGACCACAGUGCUUACCCAAAGUGUUGAAGGAACUUCCUGAUGUUGUUCAAACUGUCUCAACCAUCGAGUGUUCGGAGCAGUUGCCUCCCCUUGAUUGCUCUCCAAGCGUUCGGGAUAAAGUGUGAGCCUGCCAUGGGUUUCCUGUUCCAUCGCACAUUUCAUUUCAGAUUUAAUUAGCAAUU